rnacentral:tRNA from 1 species
GGAGAGAUGCUGGAGCGACUGACCGAACCCGUCUCGAAAACGGGAGUGGGCAAUGCUGCCGAGGGUUCAAAUUCCCCCGUCUCUCCA